UUCUGAGCUAUGCCGGACCUGACGGGAGCAGUGUAAACACAGGCAAUCAGCUUGGUGCCUAUAAUGUGCAGCCUCUGCAGAAAAAGGUAUUCUGGAGCUUUUACGUUGUUGUGGCCAGCCUUUUCCAUGACUGCAUCUUACAGGAUAUCUCGAAUAGUUCAAAUCAGUACUUACUUUACCAUCCGCCAAAAACUGAUCAUAGUAUAAGGGGUUAUACUCUUCAGCCCUCAUUACCUCUGCAUAAAACCGUCUGUUGGCCAUACUUUUAGUAAUGCGUGUCUGGCGCAAUUGAUCUUCAAGUUCAUAAACCAUUCUCAACAAUUCUAUUUUGUCUGGUUCUGAAUUUGAGGGAAUUCUGGAUGGAUGCAGACUAGAAUUGUGGGCCAUAUUAUUCCGAUAAUUUGAAGGGUUUCCAAGGUUAUGUCCUGUGUGAGAACCGGUUGGAAUAAACGGAAAUGCUGUGGUUUGCUCAUCCUUAUCCAAUCUCAUCCUGCUUCCGGAGGCCUGACCAUGUUUCCUAGAUGGAAGCCAUUUGUCAGGACUCCAGUUGCUCCCUGCUGUAGCGUGAUGUCUCCUUCCUGGUAAUGCUGUGGAUAAGUUCAUCGCAUUCUGUACUAUCUUUGACUCACUACUCAUUGUGUUGUUUACUCGGCAUCUAUCAUCCAAAUGAAACUCACUAGAGCUAAACUUUCUUUUAGGUUGCUGAUGGAACUGAUUAGGUAAAUGAUCAUCCCCAUCACAUGAAGAUGCACUGCCAUCGUAAGCAUAGUAACUUCUGUGUGUUGGAGAUUUAAUCAUAUUUCUGAGAUUAACAGAAGGCUCAGAAUUUUCCAACGUGUCCAUAGAGCUUAUACGGUCAAAACUUGAGGAAAUCUCUUUUUGAAAUUGCUCUAACUGCUCAUGAUCAGUAGAAAUCAAAGUGUCUGUUAUGAUGCUUUCAUUCAAAAGACUUUGGUACAUGUCAGAGCAUACAGAUAACUGCUUCUCAAUGCCAUCACUGGCUAACUCAUCUCUGUGGUUGAUACAUUCAAAAUAAGUAGAACUCAUGGAGUUGUGCCUCUUUUGGUUAACUCCACUUUCAUUUUGAUCAUUUACAGUGCAGUGAUCCACAAGGAAGUUGUCUUCAUCCAAUUCCAGUUGUUCCGUCGCUUCAAGGGCUAAACCUUCGGCAUCUUGUUUGGUUUCAGGGGUUGGACAUCCAGUGUCUUUAUCCAUCUCCAGUUGCUCUCUCUCUUCAAUGGCUGAACACUCUGCAUCUUCUUUGGCUUCAACAAUCGGACUUCCCAAUUCAUCACAAGUAAGUUGACCUGAGCUAGAAAGUCUAUUAGAAAAGUUUUCUCCUCCUGAGAACUCUUUUUGGUGUUCAUAUCGUUCUGUCUUUUCGUCCAAAGCACAACUGUGUUCAUCUCUUUUAUGUUCUUCAGAUUUGGAUAAAGAAUCUUCAUUCUCAAGGUAGCUAAGCCCAGAAGAGCGUGUAAGCUCAUUGGAGGAAUUGAUCUGUCGAGGUAGAUCCUUGUUACAGUCUUCAGCACCCCCUUGAUCAGACAUGUUCAGUGAAGCAUCUCCAUUCGAAGGAGGAGAAGCUUCUUCACUUGCGCUGUUUAUUUCUUUCUGAUCAAGUCCGUUGUUCUUUAUUGGAGCUCUUUUCCUGUUCUUAGCUGCAUCCAAGAUAAACUUUGUGAGGAAGUCAUUUCAACUUAAACCAUAAUCACUCAUUUUUUUUUUGAAUUAAUCACUCAUGUAAAAUUUAAUUAUUUAAUUCUAUUGACGUAACUAACACACCCUCCCUAAAAUAAUAAAUAAAUGAAAAAGAAAAGAAGAGAUGCGCGAAUAUGCGACUAGAUAUUUUCCUGACGCCAUAUGUAUUUACAUAGAAUGAUAACCUUGGACAAUGUAAGAGUUGUUCCGUGGAAGCAAUUUCUGUAAAAAAAGCAAGCUAAUGUUGACACAAUAGACCCAAUAUGGUCUAAUUUUUUCCUGGACCGAGCACAUAACAGGAGCUUACCGAACUGCGAUUAACAAAUAAAAUUGUAAAUAUAGAUGGAAAGGAAAAUUACCUUGGAGAACUGUGCUACAUCCCCCACACUUGUAGACAGGAACCUCUGCUAACUCCGGAAGAACUAAUUGGCAUUUGGGACAUCUAACCAACCGAACUUUAGUGUUCAAUUGACUACUCAUAUCACUCCUGUUUAGCAGCAACCAAAACUACAAGACGUGGUAGAGAAUCAGAGAUCUGUCACAUGAUGUAAACACUCAUAGCUGAAACUACAUAAAUUGUUACUGUGAUACACUAUCAGACAAAUGAAAUGACUUGGAUCUUUUUUUCUUAGCAAAUAUAGGUUAUAGAUAUUAUGAUUAUGUUAGUGUUCAAAAUAAACUCAGAAGGCUAGUAAAUAUGAUUAUGAUUAUGUCAUCCGCAAAUAGUAUCCAGAAAAACUCUCAUUCUCAUGAAACAGAAAAAAGUCAGACACCUUGUUUAACCAAUAUAUAUCAAGGAGAA
rnacentral:lncRNA from 1 species